UCCCGGGUAGUGUAACGGCAGCACGGCAUCCUUUGGAGAUGUUCGGUGAGGGUUCGAAUCCUUCCCCGGGAG
rnacentral:tRNA from 1 species